rnacentral:misc_RNA from 1 species
GAAAUGCGAUACGUAGUGUGAAUUGCAGAAUUCCGUGAAUCAUCGAAUCUUUGAACGCAUAUUGCGCCCGAGGCCUCUGGCCAAGGGCAUGUCUGCCUCAGCGUCGGGUUAAUACUCGCCCCCUCUUCUCAUUUAUGAGUAGAAAGGGCGGAUCUGGCCGUUCCAGCAAUCAUUAGAGAGCUGGAUCAGCCGAAGUACAGAGGCUAACCAAGGACCCGUCAAGGGCCGCAACUGGGUGGGCAGCUCACGCUUGCUAUAUCAUCUUGGUUGUUGGUCUGGAGACUUGUUGUUAGGCCCAAAACAGGAAACCCACUUUAUUUUCUCGACCUGAGCUCAGGCAAGAACACCCGCUGAACUUAA